AAAUUGAAGAGUUUGAUCAUGGCUCAGAUUGAACGCUGGCGGCAGGCCUAACACAUGCAAGUCGAACGGUAACAGGAAGCAGCUUGCUGCUUUGCUGACGAGUGGCGGACGGGUGAGUAAUGUCUGGGAAACUGCCUGAUGGAGGGGGAUAACUACUGGAAACGGUAGCUAAUACCGCAUAACGUCGCAAGACCAAAGAGGGGGACCUUCGGGCCUCUUGCCAUCGGAUGUGCCCAGAUGGGAUUAGCUAGUAGGUGGGGUAAAGGCUCACCUAGGCGACGAUCCCUAGCUGGUCUGAGAGGAUGAUCAGCCACACUGGAACUGAGACACGGUCCAGACUCCUACGGGAGGCAGCAGUGGGGAAUAUUGCACAAUGGGCGCAAGCCUGAUGCAGCCAUGCCGCGUGUAUGAAGAAGGCCUUCGGGUUGUAAAGUACUUUCAGCGGGGAGGAAGGGAGUAAAGUUAAUACCUUUGCUCAUUGACGUUACCCGCAGAAGAAGCACCGGCUAACUCCGUGCCAGCAGCCGCGGUAAUACGGAGGGUGCAAGCGUUAAUCGGAAUUACUGGGCGUAAAGCGCACGCAGGCGGUUUGUUAAGUCAGAUGUGAAAUCCCCGGGCUCAACCUGGGAACUGCAUCUGAUACUGGCAAGCUUGAGUCUCGUAGAGGGGGGUAGAAUUCCAGGUGUAGCGGUGAAAUGCGUAGAGAUCUGGAGGAAUACCGGUGGCGAAGGCGGCCCCCUGGACGAAGACUGACGCUCAGGUGCGAAAGCGUGAGGAGCAAACAGGAUUAGAUACCCUGGUAGUCCACGCCGUAAACGAUGUCGACUUGGAGGUUGUGCCCUUGAGGCGUGGCUUCCGGAGCUAACGCGUUAAGUCGACCGCCUGGGGAGUACGGCCGCAAGGUUAAAACUCAAAUGAAUUGACGGGGGCCCGCACAAGCGGUGGAGCAUGUGGUUUAAUUCGAUGCAACGCGAAGAACCUUACCUGGUCUUGACAUCCACGGAAGUUUUCAGAGAUGAGAAUGUGCCUUCGGGAACCGUGAGACAGGUGCUGCAUGGCUGUCGUCAGCUCGUGUUGUGAAAUGUUGGGUUAAGUCCCGCAACGAGCGCAACCCUUAUCCUUUGUUGCCAGCGGUCCGGCCGGGAACUCAAAGGAGACUGCCAGUGAUAAACUGGAGGAAGGUGGGGAUGACGUCAAGUCAUCAUGGCCCUUACGACCAGGGCUACACACGUGCUACAAUGGCGCAUACAAAGAGAAGCGACCUCGCGAGAGCAAGCGGACCUCAUAAAGUGCGUCGUAGUCCGGAUUGGAGUCUGCAACUCGACUCCAUGAAGUCGGAAUCGCUAGUAAUCGUGGAUCAGAAUGCCACGGUGAAUACGUUCCCGGGCCUUGUACACACCGCCCGUCACACCAUGGGAGUGGGUUGCAAAAGAAGUAGGUAGCUUAACCUUCGGGAGGGCGCUUACCACUUUGUGAUUCAUGACUGGGGUGAAGUCGUAACAAGGUAACCGUAGGGGAACCUGCGGUUGGAUCACCUCCUUACCUUAAAGAAGC
rnacentral:rRNA from 1 species